rnacentral:snoRNA from 1 species
GCCGUUCAGGGAUGAGGCGUGGAACAAGCACCGAGCAGUAUCUGACACCCGUGGGGAGUGGCUCUGCGCUGCAUUUCUUCCGAGAGCAGC